rnacentral:rRNA from 1 species
AAUGAACGCUGGCGGCGUGCUUAAGACAUGCAAGUCGAACGGAGUGUGUAGCAAUACUCACUAAGUGGCGAAUGGGUGAGUAACACGUAGGUGACCUGCCCUGAAGUGCGGAAUAACAGUCCGAAAGGAUUGCUAAUACCGCAUGUGGUCCCGGGCGUUAGAGAACCGGGUCUAAAGCAGUAAUGCGCUUCAGGAGGGGCCUGCGGUCCAUCAGCUAGUUGGUAGGGAAUGGCCUACCAAGGCAACGACGGAUAGGGGACC